UCCUCUUCCUCUCCGGCUGCCGUUUCGGUGCCGGAGAGGGAGGAGGACCGGGGAUUCGCUGUCCGGAUGUAUAUAGGGUAGGUAGUUUAUCUUCUACAUUUAGGUUUUGCUUGCCAUUGACGUCGAUGGUGGAGCUUCGGUGUCCGGGAGUAGCGGCCGUGAUGGAGCUAUUUCGCCGGCAAAUAAAGAUCCUCCCCGGCUAUGGCGGAGGCUCGUGCAUCUUCUCCGGCGAGGGAGGCGGUUUGGGCAUCUUCUCCGGCGAGAUAUCCUUGAGGUCAGUUGGCCUCUCUUUUGUUGCGAAAGGGGAAUGAUUCUCUUGAGUUGCAAGGUUCUUCCGGGUGGCCGGCAUGGCUGGGCACCGCGGAUUUGAAUUCCGGCCACUAGCUUCUAUGUUGGUGGGAGCGGACGGUUCCUGGCCAGUUGCUGACUGCAUCGGUCUUGUGCCUGUCUGUGCUGCCUUGGUUGAAGUCGGAGUCUUCUUGGGUGGUGCAGUCUGGCUCUUGUCCCUGGGCCAAGCUUCCGGUGUUGUGUUCUUGGGUGUUGGGGUGGCGGCCUGGUGUUCAAGGAAGGUGGAUGAAGGCGGAAGAGGGGUGGAAUAUGGGGAGCCGACGGCUGAUGACCUUUUAUUGAGAAUCUCUUGCAGUCUUCCAAAGAUUAGAGUGCGCUCUCUGAUUUCAAAAGGUGAAGAUGGAAGGUUGAAGAUCAGGUGCGCUACUCAUGCCUGGGUGAAGCAACAGCGGCAGACUGUUCGGAGGAAGAUGGUGAACAGUGGCAGGGAGGGCCAUGUUGUAAUUUUCAUAUUACUCAAGGACCUUUCUGUAAGAAAGGAAUGUUCUGUGCUCUCUUUUUCAAUAUAAGUGAUACUCCUUUUCGCAAAAAAAAAAACUACAACAUUUAGGAAAACCAUUCAAAGGGCUCACAUGUCACACAAACAAAGAUCAUCCACAUCAAUUUGGAUGACACGUGGGCCCAUGAAAGGAUUUUCCGAAAGUUGGAGCUCUGUCAGACCCGGGGUAGCGGGACUGCUCAUAGGCAUAGAAGAUUCUAUGGCAAGGGAUAGCGCAUGAAUGUACCUUAUCUCUUUUGUAACUACCCGGGGCAGUGGUAUUCUCUUUUGUGAGUCGUCGAGUACAACCCCUGCAGUAUCGAAAGGAUCCCACCUUUAGAUAUGAAGGCACAAAGGAUCCGACCAGAUUUACUCCUGAGCCAAUGGCUCGUUCUGAAGUAGUAAACAGAUGCUGCAAAGUACUCGACAACUUUGAUGAGUCCUUGACUCUUCCUGCGCUCUUCUGGGCAGGCAAUCCGUCCGAGAAUUCUUGGAAGAAUUACAAAUCAUGGUACUGUAUGCCUCCAUCUCCAAUUGAUGCCGCCCAGUCUGGUGACGAUAAGAAGCGGAAGGCAGCCCCUGGAUCAUUGUUGCAGAGAAAAAUACAUCGUCAAGACAGUGGCCAGUAAGUGCCUUGCUCUCUCCAUUAAAUCCAUUGUAAUCUUUAAUUAUCUUGUUCUGAUUCCAGCUUGCUCAGGAUACAAUACCUUUCUAAGCAUGAAAAGUAUCAGGUCCAAGAUUUUCGUAACUGGGUAGAGAAUGACCCAGAAUCAACUACUCGAUCAGCCCCUAAUUCACCAAUAAUCGGGUUGAUCGAGAGCUCUGAUGCCGCAACCUGCCAAGAAGUGGGCACAUCUAGCACGCUAAAAAUAAGUGCCCCUGAGGCAGAGAAAUCUACUCCAUCUAGUAAACAAGAUCCUCUGUCUAUAACUACUAGUGAUGGCGCUGCUGCCACUGCUGCUACUAGUGGAGAGGUUGGAGGGUCGAGUAAACCUGGAGUUCGAGUAGUACCCUUCCAGUCUCUCCCUUCUUCUGCUCAAGAAAAGUUGGGCUAGGAGCUCUUUGAUGAUCCCUUGCUCACUGUGGAGAAUGUAAAGAAGCUUGCAGAUUAUAUACAGUGGAGCUUCAAAUUCACCAAGGAUGUUGCCAAUUGGUCUUUUUUGAAGUCUCAAGCUUUGUAUAAGACCGUAGACAACCGGGACCUCUUGGCCCCAAAGAAUGCCGAGAUCGCCAAAUGCCUUGACCAAGCUCUUACUAUGCGAAACCAACUUUAUGAAGCUAACCGGAAGCAUACGCAAGAUAUUUGGGAAUUGAAGCAGCGAGUCAAGGGCUUGGAGGAGGAGAGGGCCAAACUCCAAGAGCAACUGUAGACUACCCAGGCUUGUAAGUAUUCGACGUAUACCUGGUAGCCUUUAGUCUUCACAAAAUCACUGAAGUAUUUGUCCUUGCAUAGGUCCAUCAAGUGAUCAAUGUCGACUGGUAGCCACAGCUCAAGCGAUUGUGGACAUGGUCGAUUCCCAAGAAGAAGCAUCGAGUAGUAGAUCUCUGGUCAAGCGCUUAGAAGAAGCUCCCAGAAAAAUUAUUGACUUCAUGACGGUGACCUCCAAGAACUACCUGUCGCACAUGCUUGCGGUUGUAAAGUCUUACUGGCCUCAGCAUAAUUUAGCUCCAAUAGCAAAAGGAAUAGCCACUGAUUGAUCAGAUCAGGAUUUCCAGGGCUAUUGUAAGGAAACAGGAAUGAUUGCUAAGGAGAACCUGAAGAACCUAGCAGAAUGAUCUGCCUGUAAUAGCUCCUUAGAUCUGUACAUACUUGUUUUUGUUGUAUAAAUCACUGUUUUUAUCCUAUUGAUGCAUCUUUAGAAACUUGAUCUGAAAUUGUAGAAUAAGUAGUCGAGAUACAAACUACUCGAGCGAGCGAGUAGGGUGUUUCCAUGGAGUAACCUCCGUAGUUGAUCAGUUAGGAUGAAUCCCGUCGGAUUAUCCAGAUAGAAAAAACUGUAUAGAGAUAUCCAUAAUCUACUCGAGCGAGCGAGUACGGUGUCUAACUUGUAGACUGGAGUAACUAUUAAGAUUGACCGGUUAGGAUGAACCCCGUCGGGUUACCCAAG